rnacentral:rRNA from 1 species
GUGCAAGUCCGAGCGAAUCGAUGGGGAGCUUGCUCCCUGAGAUUAGCGGCGGCACGUUGAUGAGUAACACGUGGGCAACCUGCCUAUAAGACUGGGAUAACUUCGGGAAACCGGAGCUAAUACCGGAUACGUUCUUUUCUCGCAUGAGAGAAGAUGGAAAGACGGUUUACGCUGUCACUUAUAGAUGGGCCCGCGGCGCAUUAGCUAGUUGGUGAGGUAAUGGCUCACCAAGGCGACGAUGCGUAGCCGACCUGAGAGGGUGAUCGGCCACACUGGGACUGAGACACGGCCCAGACUCCUACGGGAGGCAGCAGUAGGGAAUCUUCCGCAAUGGACGAAAGUCUGACGGAGCAACGCCGCGUGAACGAAGAAGGCCUUCGGGUCGUAAAGGUCUGUUGUUAGGUAAGAACAAGUACCACAGUAACUGCUGGUG